GUUCAAAUGUGCAGCAGUCCUUUUGUGGCUGGAAAAUGCUGUUUCAGUGGAGUCAUCCAUUUCCCUCUGAGCCUUACAAUCUUCCCACCUCUUCUUCUAAAUAACUAUGUAGUUUUUCUUUCUCAUCUAUUGUGAUUGAAAGUUUUGCUGGGUAUAGCAGUCUGUGCGGGAACCUGUGAUCUUUUAGACUUCGAAAAACAUCCCAACAGACCCUUCUGGCUUACAGAGUCUCUACUGAGAAGUCAGAAUGUCACCUCAAGUCUAAUACCAGCAGUCACCUGAAGUCCAUUACCAGCAGUCACCUCAAGUCCAACAAUAGCUGUCUCCUCAAGUCCAAUAACAGCAGUCACCUCAAUUCCAACACCAGCAGUCACCUCAAGUCCAAAAUCAGUAGUUACUUCAAGUCCAUCAAUAGCAGUCACCUCAAAUCCAUAACCAGCAGGCACCUCAAGUCCAUCAUCAGCUGUCACUUCAAGUCCAUCACCAGCAGUCACCUCAAAAUCAUUACCAGUGGUCACUUCAUGGUGGAGUCAAUGCCAGUCCAUUCCAGAAUAAGGAGAAUACAACACCAGAACGCCCUACAUGCAUCCUUCCUGAAGCCCACAUUUAUACCAACAAAGUGAUGCCCUCAUUCCAACUAUGCAUAUACCCUGACCUUAAGGACUCCAAGUAUUCCCCUGAGGGCCAUAAGAACUUAUUUGUUUUAUUAUUGAAUCGAAACUAGGCUUCCUAUGUGUAUCCUAGGAUGCCAUCCUCUUCAGUAUAAGAGCCUGCUAGAAGCCAAAGAUGAGUAGAAUAAUCUAACUUGACUUCAAACCUGAGACUUCAGCCAAUCUAGCCAGUGUCUCCUGCCAGCUGUAUGUAAUUCUGCCCCAGCUGCACCUACCUGAUCUUAUGGUCGAAAGAGUUCCCACAGAAUUUACAGCAUUCCAUGAAUAAAGAUAUCAGGCUGUCUUCUUUGUUGUUAAAUUGAAAACUUCUGGUAUAUCUGUGUGGUGGUUUGAUCAGGAAUGACCUCCAUUGGCUCAUAUUUGACUGUUUGGUCAUUAGAAACGCACUAGUAGGAGGUGUGGCCUUUUCAGAGUAGGUGUGGGCUUGUUGUCAAACUGUAUUACAAGUGUUGCCAUAGCGGGAGGGCCUAGGCCCUGCCAAACAAAUGACUUGACAGAUUUUGAUGGGAGGGAGAAGAAAAUC
rnacentral:lncRNA from 1 species